rnacentral:rRNA from 1 species
ACUCAAAGGAAUUGACGGGGACCCGCACAAGCAGCGGAGCGUGUGGUUUAAUUCGAUGCAACGCGAAGAACCUUACCUGGGCUUGACAUGUAUUCGCAAGCCGGGGAAACCCGGCCCUCUUCGGACGGAUACACAGAUGUUGCAUGGCUGUCGUCAGCUCGUGUCGUGAGAUGUUGGGUUAAGUCCCGCAACGAGCGCAACCCUUGUCUUUAGUUGGAAAUCUAGAGAGACUGCCGGAAACAAACCGGAGGAAGGUGGGGAUGAUGUCAAGUCAGCAUGACUCUUACGUCCAGGGCUACACACACGCUACAAUGGCCGUUACAGUGAGAAGCCAGACCGCGAGGUUGAGCAGAUCUCUAAAAGGCGGCCCCAGUUCAGAUUGCACUCUGCAACCCGAGUGCAUGAAGUCGGAGUUGCUAGUAACCGCGUGUCAGCAUAGCGCGGUGAAUAUGUUCCCGGGUCUUGUACACACCGCCCGU